UACGGAGGGUGCGAACGUUAAUCGGAAUCACUGGGCGUAAAGCGCGCGUAGGCGGUCUGUUAAGUGGGAUGUGAAAUCCCCGGGCUUAACCUGGGAAUUGCAUUUCAAACUGGCCGACUAGAGUACGGUAGAGGGGGGUAGAAUUUCCUGUGUAGCGGUGAAAUGCGUAGAUAUAGGAAGGAAUACCAGUGGCGAAGGCGGCCUCCUGGAUCGAUACUGACGCUGAGGCGCGAAAGCGUGGGGAGCAAACAGG
rnacentral:rRNA from 1 species